UACAGAGGGUGCGAGCGUUAAUCGGAAUGACUGGGCGUAAAGGGCGCGUAGGCGGGUAUGUAAGUGAGAUGUGAAAUCCCCGGGCUUAACCUGGGAACGGCAUCUUAAACUGCGUAUCUGGAGUGCAGUAGAGGGUAGUGGAAUUUCCGGUGUAGCGGUGAAAUGCGUAGAUAUCGGAAGGAACACCGGUGGCGAAGGCGGCUACCUGGACUGACACUGACGCUGAGGCGCGAAAGCGUGGGUAGCAAACAGG
rnacentral:rRNA from 1 species